rnacentral:tRNA from 1 species
GGGCCAAUAGCUCAGCUGGAAGAGCGCUCGGUUUGCAUCCGAGAGGUCGCGGGUUCAAAUCCCGCUUGGUCCA